CCUACGGGAGGCAGCAGUGGGGAAUCUUGCGCAAUGGGCGAAAGCCUGACGCAGCAACGCCGCGUGCGGGAAGAAGGCUUUCGGGCUGUAAACCGCUUUCAGCAGGAACGAAAAUGACGGUACCUGCAGAAGAAGGAGCGGCCAACUAUGUGCCAGCAGCCGCGGUGAUACAUAGGCUUCAAGCGUUGUCCGGAUUUAUUGGGCGUAAAGAGUUCGUAGGCGGUCGAGUAAGUCGGGUGUGAAAAUUCUGGGCUCAACCCAGAGACGCCACCCGAUACUGCUUGACUUGAGUUCGAUAGGGGAGUGGGGAAUUCCUAGUGUAGCGGUGAAAUGCGCAGAUAUUAGGAGGAACACCGGUGGCGAAGGCGCCACUCUGGAUCGAUACUGACGCUGAGGAACGAAAGCAUGGGUAGCAAACAGGAUUAGAUACCCUGGUAGUCCAUGCCGUAAACGGUGGGCACUAGGUGUGGGUUUCUAUUAACGAAAUCCGCGCCGUCGCUAACGCAUUAAGUGCCCCGCCUGGGGAGUACGGUCGCAAGCUAAAACUCAAAUGAAUUGACGGCUUGAAGACGUUGCGAGCGCGACGAGGGAGAGG
rnacentral:rRNA from 1 species